rnacentral:lncRNA from 1 species
AUGGGCUGCAGGGGCCCAGCUGCACCAACAUGGUCUUCACUGCGGGCUGCAAGUGAAUCUUGGCUUCUCCUGCUCCAGCAUGGGGUCCCACCCGCAGGAGAUAAUCCUCCUUGCACUUGUCCAUUAUGGGUCCUUCUCAUGAGCUGCAGUUCUUCACAAGGCUCUCCUGUGUGGGACCUCUGUGAGGUCACAAGUCCUGCCAGCAAGGACUUAAAAGGAGCAAGAACUUUAACCCAGGUAUGAUACGUCCUUUUCCCAAGUGGUGAGAAAUUGUUCUUCAUUUCAGGGUUUUUUUUUUCAAUUCAAGUCUCAGAAGAGAAAAGCAAAAAUAUGUGACUUUCAUCAGGAGAAAGCCUGAAAAUAUAAUGCUGCUUUUCAGUAAUUACAGUACAU